rnacentral:rRNA from 1 species
UACGUAGGGCGCAAGCGUUAGUCCGGAAUUAUUGGCGUAAAGAGCUCGUAGGCGGUCUGUCGCGUCGGCGUGUGAAAACUCGGGGCUCAACCCCGAGCCGCAGUCGAUACGGGCAGACGUAGAGUGCGGUAGGGGAGACUGGAAUUCCUGGUGUAGCGGUGAAAUGCGCAGAGUAUCAGGAGGAACGACCGGUGGCGAAGGCGGG